UUUAUCCUUAUCAUUUUGGCUAAUAGGAGCAAAACAUCAAGGAUUCAGCAGGCAUAAAGACAUCAAAUAUAGCAACAGAUGGUGUAUUAUUGGAAGAUUGCGAAGUAAGCAACAUGGAUACCAAUAUAUGCAAAGAAAAAGUUUCAUCAUUGAAGAAAUUCAAUAUUGCCAAUCAAAGAAGACAGAGAAUUCUGAUUGUAGAUAGUGACUCAGAUGAAGAAGAAAAUGAUACAUCAGUUUAUAGCAAAAAAGUAGAUGUUGACUACAAUCUUGAUAAAAAGAAAUCUGUUCUAGAAAAAGCCAUUAAGACUGGGACAAGAGUGGCCAAAAAGAUUGAUGAGCUUGAAUUGAAAUUUUUGAAUAAUCAAGUUGAGAAGUUAAGAUUGCACAAAAAGAUUAACAGAAAAAAGAGGAAACAUGUUGCUGCAAAACACAAGGAGGUUGAUAUGGUAAAGGAUGGUAACAAAGAAUCUAAAAGGGCAAAUGAAAAAUUAAGGAAGCAUGGUCAUAGAAAAAGAAAAGGCAGCAUGGUUGUGAUGCAAACAGAUUUUUCAAUUAAUCAGGUAUCAAAAUAAACUAAACUUUCAUCAUCCAUAUUGGAUAAAUAGCAUUUUUUGAAAUCAAUAAGGUUUUGUGAGUUUUUUUUUUAGGAAGAAGGCAUCAAUGAUUUGGAUAUUAAAAGAAAUGUGAAAAAAGAUUACUUGAGGUCAUCCAAAAGGUGUAAAAAGAAUCUUCAUCAUCGAAAGCAAAAAGACAAUAAGUUACAGGAUGAUGUUUGCUUGCAGAAGGAAUCAGAUUUUUCAAAUAAUCAGGUACACCAAAUAAACAGAUUAUCAUAUGUCAUAUUUAUUAAUUAAUAUGUAAAUGUACAAUAUUUUUGUUAUUGUUUUUUAGGAACAACAAAGCACAAUUCUAGAAGAGGUAAAUGAUGAAUGCACCAGUAAUACCUACACAAAUGAAAUUGGUGAAAAAAGCAAGGAUCAAACAUCUCGAAAAAUAAAAAAAAGAAGGUUGAAUUGCGAAAGAAGUCAAAAAGACGAGAUUAAAUACAGAGAUGUGCCAAUUAUACAACAGGAAUCCAAUCAAUAUACAUCAAAAAGUAGUCAGGAUGAUGUUUACUUGCAGAGUGAAUCAAAAUUUUCAAACAAUAAGACAAGUUAUGACGAGAACGAAGAUAUUAUCAAUGAAGCCGACUUCGACAAAGAAUGCAAUAAGGAGAUCAACAUACCAGUGCACAAAGAACAGCAACCAACUCGAUAUAAAUCAACAAGGCCUAGGAUAAGACCUGCAAGAUACACAUCUUAGGAUUAGAAGAUGUCAGGAAAAAGUUUGGGAAACUACCCUAUAAGAAAUAGAAAUUUUAUUAGUUUAUAUUAAUGAACAACAUUACAUGUAUCUGCUUGCAAUACAAUGAGUAUAUUAACAAAGUUCUA